rnacentral:rRNA from 1 species
GCCUCUUAGUCUGGGAUAGCCAUUGGNAACGAUGAUUAAUACUAGAUACUCCUUCUAAACAUAAGUUUAGUCGGGAAAGUUUUUUCGCUAAGAGAUCAGUCUAUAUCGCAUCAGUUAGUUGGUGGGGUAACGGCCUACCAAGACAAUGACGCGUAGCGGGUUUGAGAGGAUGAUCCGCCACACUGGUACUGAGACACGGACCAGACUCCUACGGGAGGCAGCAGUGAGGAAUAUUGCACAAUGGGGGAAACCCUGAUGCAGCAACGCCGCGUGGAGGAUGACGCAUUUCGGUGUGUAAACUCCUUUUAUGAGUCAAGAAAAUGACGGUAGCUCAUGAAUAAGCACCGGCUAACUCCGUGCCAGCAGCCGCGGUAAUACGGAGGGUGCAAGCGUUACUCGGAAUCACUGGGCGUAAAGGACGCGUAGGCGGGUUAUCAAGUCAGGUGUGAAAUCCUAUGGCUCAACCAUAGAACUGCACUUGAAACUGGUAACCUAGAGUAUGGGAGGGGCAGAUGGAAUUAGUAGUGUAGGGGUAAAAUCCGUAGAUAUUACUAGGAAUACCGAAAGCGAAGGCGAUCUGCUGGAACAUUACUGACGCCAAGGCGUGAAAGCGUGGGGAGCAAACGGGAUUAGAUACCCCGGUAGUCCACGCCCCUAAACGAUGAACACUAGUCGUCGGGGAGCUAGUUCUCUUUCGGUGAUGCACUAAACAGAUUAAGUGUUCCGCCUGGGGGAGUACGGUCGCAAGAUUAAAACUCAAAGGAAUAGACGGGGACCCGCACAAGUGGUGGAGCAUGUGGUUUAAUUCGAAGAUACGCGAAGAACCUUACCUAGCCUUGACAUUGAUUGAAUACCCUAGAGAUAGAGUAGUGCCCUUCGGGGAACAUGAAAACAGGUGCUGCACGGCUGUCGUC